rnacentral:rRNA from 1 species
CCUACGGGUGACAGCAGUGGGGAAUAUUGCGCAAUGGGCGCAAGCCUGACCCAGCAACGCCGCGUGAAGGAAGAAGGCUUUCGGGUUGUAAACUUCUUUUGUCAGGGAAGAGUAGAAGACGGUACCUGACGAAUAAGCCACGGCUAACUACGUGCCAGCAGCCGCGGUAAUACGUAGGUGGCAAGCGUUGUCCGGAUUUACUGGGUGUAAAGGGCGUGUAGCCGGGUUGACAAGUCAGAUGUGAAAUCCUGCGGCUUAACCGAAGAACUGCAUUUGAAACUGUUGAUCUUGAGUACUGGAGAGGAAGACGGAAUUCCUAGUGUAGCGGUGAAAUGCGUAGAUAUUAGGAGGAACACCAGUGGCGAAGGCGGUCUGCUGGACAGCAACUGACGGUGAGGCGCGAAAGCGUGGGGAGCAAACAGGAUUAGAUACCCCAGUAGUC